UACGUAUGGUGCAAGCGUUAUCCGGAUUUACUGGGUGUAAAGGGAGCGUAGGCGGCGCGUUAAGUCUGAUGUGAAAACCCGAGGCUCAACCACGGGAGUGCAUUGGAAACUGGCGUGCUGGAGUGCCGGAGAGGUAAGCGGAAUUCCUAGUGUAGCGGUGAAGUGCGUAGAUAUUAGGAGGAACACCAGUGGCGAAGGCGGCUUACUGGACGGCAACUGACGCUGAGGCUCGAAAGCGUGGGGAGCAAACAGG
rnacentral:rRNA from 1 species